UAUAAAACUCAGGUACACAAAUGGGAACU
rnacentral:piRNA from 1 species